rnacentral:rRNA from 1 species
GACGAACGCUGGCGGCGUGCUUAAAAACAUGCAAGUCGAACGGACUUCUCAUGAAGCUUGCGAUUGAGAAGUUAGUGGCGGACGGGUGAGUAACGCGUGGGCAACCUGCCCCUGAGCCCGGGAUAACAGUUCGAAAGGACUGCUAAGACCGGAUAUACUUGCGGUGAAGCAUUUCACUGCAAGGAAAGGGAACGCUCAGGGAUGGGCCCGCGUCCCAUUAGCUAGUUGGUGAGGUAACGGCUCACCAAGGCGACGAUCGGUAGCCGGACUGAGAGGUUGGCCGGCCACAUUGGGACUGAGACACGGCCCAGACUCCUACGGGAGGCAGCAGUGGGGGAUAUUAGUCAAUGGGGGAAACCCUGAACUAGCGACGCCGCGUGAAGGAAGAAGGUCUUCGGAUUGUAAACUUUUGUCUUCAGGGACGAAGCAAGUGACGGUACCUGAGGAGGAAGCCACGGCUAACUACGUG